CGGGACGGGUGGGUAAUGUCUGGGAAACGUGCCUGAUGGAGGGGGAUAACUACUGGAAACGGUAGCUAAUACCGCAUAACGUCGCAAGACCAAAGAGGGGGACCUUCGGGCCUCUUGCCAUCGGAUGUGCCCAGAUGGGAUUAGCUAGUAGGUGGGGUAACGGCUCACCUAGGCGACGAUCCCUAGCUGGUCUGAGAGGAUGACCAGCCACACUGGAACUGAGACACGGUCCAG
rnacentral:rRNA from 1 species